UACGAGUGCCUCAAGCGUUAUCCGGAAUCAUUGGGCGUAAAGGGUGUGUAGGUGGUUUUGUUAGUCUCGCGUAAAAUGCUCCGGCUCAACCGGAGCUCCGCGCGGGAAACGGCAAGACUAGAGGACGGUAGAGGUUUCUGGAACUCAUAGUGUAGCGGUGAAAUGCGUUGAUAUUAUGGGGAACACCAAAAGCGAAGGCAAGAAACUGGACCGCUCCUGACACUGAAACACGAAAGCGUGGGUCGCGAAUGGG
rnacentral:rRNA from 1 species